rnacentral:rRNA from 1 species
UAGGGAAUAUUAGCAAUGGGCGCAAGCCUGAACUAGCAACGCCGCGUGUGCGAAGAAGGCCUUCGGGUCGUAAAGCACUUUUUGAGAGGAUGAGGAAGGACGGUACUCUCAGAAUAAGUCUCGGCUAACUACGUGCCAGCAGCCGCGGUAACACGUAGGAGGCAAACGUUAUCCGGAUUUACUGGGCGUAAAGCGCGUGUAGGUGGUUUGGUAAGUAGGGCGUGAAAGCUCCUGGCUCAACUGGGAGAGGACGUUCUAAACUGCCAAGCUUGAGGAUGGUAGAGGGAGGUGGAAUUCCGGGUGUAGCGGUGGAAUGCGCAGAUAUCCGGAGGAACACCAGUGGCGAAGGCGGCCUCCUGGACCACUCCUGACACUCAGACGCGAAAGCUAGGGUAGCAAACGG